rnacentral:rRNA from 1 species
GACGAACGCUGGCGGCGUGCUUAACACAUGCAAGUCGAACGAUGAUGCUGGAGCUUGCUCCAGUUGAUUAGUGGCGAACGGGUGAGUAACACGUGAGCAAUCUGCCCUUGACUCUGGGAUAACUGCGGGAAACUGUAGCUAAUACCGGAUACUUUCACCGGGGGGCAUCCUCUGGUGAUGAAAGAAUUUCGGUCAAGGAUGAGCUCGCGGCCUAUCAGCUUGUUGGUGAGGUAACGGCUAACCAAGGCGACGACGGGUAGCCGGCCUGAGAGGGUGACCGGCCACACUGGGACUGAGACACGGCCCAGACUCCUACGGGAGGCAGCAGUGGGGAAUAUUGCACAAUGGGCGCAAGCCUGAUGCAGCAACGCCGCGUGAGGGAUGAAGGCCUUCGGGUUGUAAACCUCUUUUAGCAGGGAAGAAGCGAAAGUGACGGUACCUGCAGAAAAAGCACCGGCUAACUACGUGCCAGCAGCCGCCGUAA